rnacentral:sRNA from 1 species
GCCAGGUGCAGUGGUGCACACCUGAAAUCCCAGCAGCUCAGGAGGCUGAGGUAGGAGGAUUGUGAGUUCAAAGCCAGUCUCAGCAAGAGUGAGGUGAUAAGCAACUCAAUGAGACCCUGUCUCUA